rnacentral:tRNA from 1 species
GUGCCAUUAGCUCAACGGAUAGAGCAUCGGAGUUCUAAUCCGCUGGUUCGGGGUUCGAAUCCCCGAUGGCGCGCCA